rnacentral:rRNA from 1 species
AUGUUCCGUGAUGUCUCACGCUUCACCAAGCGAUGCUCUACAUGUCACAAAGCUAAGUCAAAAGCUCAAUCCCAUGGUAUUUACAUGCCCCUUCGAAUUCCAUAUCAACCUUGGGAAGACAUUAGCAUGGACUUUGUAAUUGGUUUGUCUAGAACUCAAAAUGGAAAGGAUUUCGUGUUUGUUGUUGUGGACCGAGACUCUAAGAUGUCUCAUUUUAUUCCAUGCAACAAGAUAGAUGAUGCAUCACAUAUUGCAAAUCUUUUUUGUAGGGAAAUCUUGCGUCUCCAUGGAGUGCCAAAGACGAUUGUGUCGGACCGCGACGUCAAAUUCUUGAGUUACUUUUGGAAGACUCUAUGCACCAAGCUCGGAAUCAAGCUCUUGUUCUCUUCGGCAUACCAUCCUCAAACCGACGGCCAAACGAGGUGA